UUUCUAAAAUCACUCCGAUUUGCAUGUUCCCUCAGGGACUUGUAAACAAAGGGUAUGAAGAGCAAUUUUCAUGCCUGCCAUUGUGCAAAGGAGGAGAUACCUUGAUUAA
rfam:Desulfotomaculum gibsoniae DSM 7213, complete genome.